UACGGAGGGAGCUAGCGUUGUUCGGAAUCACUGGGCGUAAAGCGCACGUAGGCGGCUAUUCAAGUCAGGGGUGAAAGCCCGGGGCUCAACCCCGGAACUGCCUUUGAAACUAGAUAGCUUGAAUCUUGGAGAGGCGAGUGGAAUUCCGAGUGUAGAGGUGAAAUUCGUAGAUAUUCGGAAGAACACCAGUGGCGAAGGCGACUCGCUGGACAAGUAUUGACGCUGAGGUGCGAAAGCGUGGGGAGCAAACGGG
rnacentral:rRNA from 1 species